AUGCAGUCGAACGAGAAUCUGCUGAAGGAGGAUUCGUCCAACGGAAGUAGAGGAAAGUGGCGGACGGGUGAGUAACGCGUGAGGAACCUGCCUUGAAGAGGGGGACAACAGUUGGAAACGACUGCUAAUACCGCAUGACGCAUAGAGGUCGCAUGAUCUUUAUGCCAAAGAUUUAUCGCUUCAAGAUGGCCUCGCGUCUGAUUAGCUAGUUGGCGGGGUAACGGCCCACCAAGGCGACGAUCAGUAGCCGGACUGAGAGGUUGAACGGCCACAUUGGGACUGAGAUACGGCCCAGACUCCUACGGGAGGCAGCAGUGGGGAAUAUUGGGCAAUGGGCGCAAGCCUGACCCAGCAACGCCGCGUGAAGGAAGAAGGCUUUCGGGUUGUAAACUUCUUUUAAGAGGGAAGAGCAGAAGACGGUACCUCUAGAAUAAGCCACGGCUAACUACGUGCCAGCAGCCGCGGUAAUACGUAGGUGGCAAGCGUUGUCCGGAUUUACUGGGUGUAAAGGGCGUGCAGCCGGGUCUGCAAGUCAGAUGUGAAAUCCAUGGGCUCAACCCAUGAACUGCAUUUGAAACUGUAGAUCUUGAGUGUCGGAGGGGCAAUCGGAAUUCCUAGUGUAGCGGUGAAAUGCGUAGAUAUUAGGAGGAACACCAGUGGCGAAGGCGGAUUGCUGGACGAUAACUGACGGUGAGGCGCGAAAGUGUGGGGAGCAAACAGGAUUAGAUACCCUGGUAGUCCACACUGUAAACGAUGAAUACUAGGUGUGCGGGGACUGACCCCCUGCGUGCCGCAGUAAACACAAUAAGUAUUCCACCUGGGGAGUACGAUCGCAAGGUUGAAACUCAAAGGAAUUGACGGGGGCCCGCACAAGCGGUGGAUUAUGUGGUUUAAUUUCGAAGCAACGCGAA
rnacentral:rRNA from 1 species